rnacentral:rRNA from 1 species
UUAAGCAUAUCAAUAAGCGGAGGAAAAGAAACUAACAAGGAUUCCCCUAGUAACUGCGAGUGAAGCGGGAAAAGCUCAAAUUUAAAAUCUGUCAGUCUUUGGCUGUCCGAGUUGUAAUCUAGAGAAGCGUUAUCCGCGCUGGACCGUGUACAAGUCUCCUGGAAUGGAGCGUCAUAGAGGGUGAGAAUCCCGUCUUUGACACGGACUGCCAGGGCUUUGUGAUGCGCUCUCAAAGAGUCGAGUUGUUUGGGAAUGCAGCUCAAAAUGGGUGGUAAAUUCCAUCUAAAGCUAAAUAUUGGCGAGAGACCGAUAGCGAACAAGUACCGUGAGGGAAAGAUGAAAAGAACUUUGGAAAGAGAGUUAAACAGUACGUGAAAUUGCUGAAAGGGAAACGCUUGAAGUCAGUCGCGUUGUCCAGGGAUCAACCUUGCUUUUGCUUGGUGUACUUUCUGGUUGACGGGUCAGCAUCAAUUUUGACUAUUGGAAAAAGGUCAGGGGAAUGUGGCAGCUUCGGAUGUGUUAUAGCCCUUGGUUGCAUACAAUGGUUGGGAUUGAGGAACUCAGCACGCCGCAAGGCCGGGUUUUUAACCACGUACGUGCUUAGGAUGCUGGCAUAAUGGCUUUAAUCGACCCGUCUUGAAACACGGACCAAGGAGUCUAACAUGCCUGCGAGUGUUUGGGUGGAAAACCCGAGCGCGCAAUGAAAGUGAAAGUUGAGAUCCCUGUCAUGGGGAGCAUCGACGCCCGGACCAGACCUUUUGUGACGGUUCCGCGGUAGAGCAUGUGUGUUGGGACCCGAAAGAUGGUGAACUAUGCCUGAAUAGGGUGAAGCCAGAGGAAACUCUGGUGGAGGCUCGUAGCGAUUCUGACGUGCAAAUCGAUCGUCAAAUUUGGGUAUAGGG